rnacentral:RNase_P_RNA from 1 species
UGGGUGGGCCGGGCGAUCGCGGCCGGCUCGGCCGGCUGAGGAAAGUCCGCGCUCCACAGAGCACGGCGCCGGGUAAUCCCCGGGCGGGGCGACCCGCGGACAGGGCCACAGAAACAGACCGCCCCGGCGCAGGCCGGGGUCAGGGUGAAAAGGUGGUGUAAGAGACCACCGGCGCGGCCAGCAAUGGCUGCGGCCAGGCAACCCCCGCCGGGAGCAAGGCCAAGCAGGAGCAACGGUCCCUUCGGGGAUCCAGGGGGCGGCUCGUCCCCUCCGAGCUCCGGGUAGGCUGCACGAGCCACGCGGAGACGCGGCGGCCCAGAGAGAUGAUCGCCCAUUCACCGCGCUCCGGGAUGAAAGCCGCAAGGCCGUAAACCGGAGAGGGGUGAUGGACAGAACGCGGCUUACAGGCCGACCCACAGC